UAUCGUUUCUCUAGCUUAAUUGGAUUUGGGACUGGAAGACUGAGGAGGACGAGAAAGAAGGCGCCACCGUGGACGCCGAAAAGAAAAUGAUGUCGCCGUUGAUGAUAAGCAGGAGGACAAAAGAAAGAUAAACAUGUAUACCCACCGAAUAUACUGGCAAGGUUUCCAUUUGAAUGAAUGUUGCUGCUUUUGAAUUCUAUGGCGAGAAGGAUCAAACCUAUGAUCUUAACUUCAAGGAAGAGAACAAUGAUGGCUCCCAGAAUAUAUCUGGAGAUAGCCUGAAGAAUGUGUACAAGUCAUUUGCUGAUGAAUACCCAGUUUUUCCGAUUGAGGACCCAUUUGAUCAUGAUGACUGGGUUCACUAUGCUAAGAUGACUAAGGAAAUUGGAGAGCAGGUGCAGAUUGUUGGAGAUGCCGUUGCGCAGCUUG